rnacentral:rRNA from 1 species
GACGAACCGUGCGAACGUUAUUCGGAAUCACUGGGCUUAAAGCGCGUGUAGGCGGGUCGGCGCGUCCGAGGCUGAAAUCCCCGGCUCAACCGGGAACGGCCGGAUACGGCCGGCCGUGGAGGGGUAGGGAGCCGGAACUCACGGUGGAGCGGUGGAAAUGCGUUGAGAUCGUGAGGAACGCCCGUGGCGAAAGCGGGCUGCCUGGGCCCGCCUGACGCUGAGACG